ensembl:lncRNA
UUUUUUUUGUUUUGUUUUGUUUUGUUUUGUUUGUUUGUUUUUUUUUUGGGGAGGUUGAGGACAAUAAUUCUAAAAACUUUAAAGUCUUUAAUGAAAAAUUCGAGUGAUCCCUGAACAAAAACAGCUUCUGGAAGCUGCAGCUUCCAGCUCAUGGAAGAAGCAUGCCUGCUCUGUGUAGGAAUAAUUCACCCAGCUUUUGCCUUUCUUGCUGAUAAUAAAAAGUGCUCCCAAUAAGAAGUAGUUUCCAGCUGGGAAAGAGGACUAAUACUUUCAUACAUUUCCAAUAUGUCAGCAAAUAAGUAUAUCAAAUUACAGCAAAAACAUAGUACAGUUCUGUGAUACAAAUAUGCUUGUAAAGAGUAUGGACCUCUCCAGGCUCACAGAGAUUUUGGAUACAUUUCUGAGGAAGGGCUGGCAUUUUCAUGGAAAUGACAACUUUUCAGCGUCAGACAGGCAAAAGACUGGUGAGAUGAGAAGCCUUCCUGAUAUAUUUGCCCAGACAGAGGUUUAAGGAGAACAUAUUUCACAGAGACAUCUGCAUCUCUGUGGCGUUCUGAGUUUGUGCUGGUUCAUGGCUGUUCUGCCUGCUGCUUCAAAGGGGGCUGACAAGACAGGUAAGUGCAACAUUUGACUUGCUCUUCUUUCUCCUCACCUCAAAGUUUUUUUAAAACACUUCACUGACCUUGAGAAGGCCCAGGACAAGGGAUUUUAAGUCCUGAAGUCCUCAUUCUGUUGGAUUAAGUGGUUCAGUGGCUAUUUCUGCAAAUGUCUGUGGUAUGUCAUUCUUUCAAAACCAGUAUAUCAGUACCUUUCAUGGCUAUACCUUAACAUAGGUGCUGCUUCUUCCACUUUUCAAAUUUAUGCAAAAAUAUAAUGCAUAAAAAAAAUAAGGCAGCUUUCUUGCUUUCUCUAUUCUUCUAAGCAGAAUUUUGUAAACUGUCAUACUACAAUCCCUGCUGUUAAGAUGUUACUUGCAGAUUCUGAAGAGAUGAUAUUUGUUGUGUCCAUAAUUUCAUUGAAGUUUUUUCUUCUUCUCUGGUAUAGGCCUGUGAUACAUCAAAACAGCUGAUAUGUGAGUCAUGGCCUGCUUUGUUUAAUCCCAGGACAGCAACUAAGGAUUUUACCCAUGACAGCCAAAGAGUCAGAACAAGACAAGAAAGUAAAUCAAGACUGCAUCAAUACCAGCAGCAACAAAAGAGAAUGCACUCACCUGAAAAGUCAAGAUCUCGGAUUGCUGUAUUCAGUGAGAGGCUAUCCAGUGACUAGGAUUCAGGGAACAAUUGCCUACAAAUUAUGACCAGGCCUGCCCAAGAAGAGGAAAGACUGAUUAUUCUUACCUCUAUGAGAGAUGAAUGCUACAUCUGCUAGUGUUUUGAGCAGCUGAUGUGACACAGACACCAGGAGCUUAACUGUGAAUACCUUCCUAGAGAGGGAUGGCAGCAAGACACUGUCUUUUGGAAAGGAGAGAGAAUUAAGGAUAUUAGUUUACCUGAAAGGUCCCAAGAGCAACACUUGAUAGAAACACCAGAAAGAUGUUUCCAGCAGUUAAAAAGCAUCAAAAGAAUUAAGUUUCUUUGUGAUCAUUUAACAGCGUACAUGAAACACAAAUCACAGAGCUACAAACCAGAGACUGUAACUGUUAGCUCUCUUCUCCCCCUCUCUUGCAUGGGUAGUGCUGUGCAAGGAAGAAGCCUUUAUGACUAAUAGCCAUGUAAAAUGUGGAUGUUUACUGUUUGUGCAAGUAUUUUAUGGCAAAGAUUGCAUCAGUACUAUGAGAAGGGAAAAAGUCUCUGACUGUAACUUUAAGGGUUUACAGAGUUUUCUGAACUCUUAUUUGCCAUCCUGUCUGUUGAAGAACAUUUCCAGCUUCACUCUAUUGUACCACUGCUGAGAAGGUUGUGGAGAGGAGAUUCUAAAGUGUGAUGUUGAACUGGGAAAACAAAUCAGCUUUUUCUGACCUUAUGGUAAGGUCAAGAUGAAAUUUUCAGAGAACUGUGGUGGAAAAUUUCCUUUAAUCCAGAUAUGGACUCAUUUAUAUAAAGAGAGAAGCAUAAAGCUUUCCCUCCCUUGUCUGAGUGAGUGGAAAAAAAAUCUCAGCACAACGAACAGAGAAAUGUAUUAUUAGUAUUCACCCCAUCAGAGGGAUAUCAGAAUGACUCAUACUGAGCUGCUGCUCUGAAGGCUGUUUUAUAUUCUCAGCCCAGCUGGUCUAAGAUCAGGGCUUCUCAAAUAGGAGUACUUUACACUUAUAGGCUUAACAUACUUUAUACUUGCACUGACUUUCUAAAAAACAAGAUCCUAAGGUAAAAAAAUUGUGAAGCUAUAAACACUCUUAGCUUCAACAUUCAGAAAGUUAUAUUUAAAACGUAUUUGUAGAGCAGUUGCUGUGUAGUCUGUGCUGGGUAUUUAAAGAUGAUUGUAGUAUAUUUAUUUAUAUUUGUCAUAUAAAUGAUUAGUUUCAAUGAUUAGUUCAGUACACCACAUAUGAUAAUGUGUGAUAAUUGGCAUGAAGCUGUGCCUUGGUGUUAUUUAGAGUCUUUGAUUGGUUAAUGAGAGGAGAAAGUACCAUAACUUUGACAGUAAAUUUAAAGAAAUAUUACAUCAGUUUUCCUUCAAAAAAAAAGACUUCUUUGAACAAAGAUAACUCAAGGGCUACAGAUAAUCCAAAAUACAGAAAGAGCAAAUAUUUCUGAUAAUUAUUCUGCAUAAAAUAGUCAGAAAAUAUAAACUACUUUUUGCUUGAUUAUUUUUGAGAAGAAAUGCUGCAUUAUCCACAAAGAUGAACAAAGUAUUUUUCAUGUCAAAGUUUACAAUGAUUGAGUAAUAGUUUAGUUCUUCAUUAAAGACUGCCAGAUGCAGAAAAGGAAUACAAACAUAAGCAAUAAAAGUAAUUUUUAUAUAAUUUAAGGACACAAUUUUUGAAACAAUUUUGCUACUAAGAAAACCAUGAAACGUAUGCUACCAGAGUCACUCCUACACAGGAGUUAAGUAUGGCUAUAGUUUAGUGAGUGCUCUAAAACUAUGUUUAAAACAGAGAAAAGACCUUGUAUUGUCAGCAAAAUGCCAGUUCCUUUUUCAGAUGAGAAAGCAAUAAUUAACUUGGUUGAAAAGUGAAUUUUUCUGUAUUGCUGCUAAUGCUUCAAAACAAUUGAAAUAUGUAAUGUUUUCAAAAACACGUAAGAAUAAUCCACUUCUUUCCUUUUUUAAAAAUUUUGACAGCAAUCAAAUUUCGUUAGAAAUAUUCAGUAUUGUAAUAAGUUUAAGUGAAUUAGAGGGGUUUCUUUGCUGCUUUUCAUUAUUUAGUGCCUACUGUGCUACUGCUAAUUUGGGGAGGAAAACAGUUCAUGAUAAAUAAUGAAAAAGAUUUGCUUCUAGCUAAUUACUUAGCUCGUAUGCUGCAUAAUGCAACAAAGUAUGUGAUAGAUUAGUCAUCAUUUGCUCAUGUAGAAAACAGAAGUUUUAAAUUACACUGUAUGGCAACAAGUUUUCUAGUUGCUGGAAGUAUUUAGUUUUCCUAACUUAAAAUAUAUCAAAGUAUUGAGCUAUAUCACCCUAAGAUUAGCUUUAUUAUAUUGACACAUUCUUGAUUAUUUUCCAGCUAUUAAAAGUUAGCUAUCAAAUGUCAGAAGAAACUAGAUUUUUCAGUUCUCUGAAGACAGAGAAAUGGGAAUGGUGGAUUCAUAUCUGAUGCCUGAAUACUAAUUAUUUUUCUGUGUAUGUUAAAAUACAAAUUAGAAAAAAUGUAAAUGUCUCCAUUUAAUAAUAUGCAACUGGUCUCAAAUAACUGACUCCACUUUUUGAUUUUGCAAACAAAGCUAUCCUUACCUGAUCCUGUCUCCUUUCAGAAAAAAAGUCAAGGUUCUCAAAGGUACAGUAAUGAAAAGGACUGGGUAUAAAGUGCUUGUCAGGAAUAUUGUAAUGAGAUGCUUAGUAGAGCAUGCAGAUAGCUGCAGAAGUGUUGUAUUAGGAAACAACAUUUCAAUCUUUAAAUCUUGAGUAUGUUAAUUAAUUAAAGCCUGUGGAAUUUUUGUUCACUCUAAUACAACAGUAAGAGUAAUAUUUCCUUGAGUAAACAGGAUUGCUACGAAUACAGAAAUUUGAUAAACAUGGAUUCUGUAGACUGUUUAAAUUUGAAUUUUAUUUCACUUAUUCAUGACAAAAGUUUUACGAAUUGAUUUACAGUGCCUAUUUGCAUGGAACAGCAUUAAGCAGGUAUUGCUUAAACUUUACAACUACAAUAUGGAAUUGUAUGUCUUGAAGUUAUAGAUUAAUAUAUUCUCUUAGAUAUUAGUUGAAAAAGGAUAUUUAGAUUUAUAUGUAGUUAAUUUCCAAUGAAAUUGUAGUAGUAAUUACCAUCUCCAUAUUCCACUGAUAAUUAAUAUUAAUACACUAAUAUUAUUAAUACACUAAUAUUAAUAAUAAAUAUUAAUAUACUGACUAAUGAUAUUGUUCAGAAGCCUAUGGUUCCUUUUGUUAACAGUCUUUGAGUGGAAAACUAUUUGGCCAUCUUGCAGUUCUUUCAUAUAUGUCACUGGUGAGUGACCAAAACAUCAGCCGGGUUCUUUAUUGCCCAGUAAAGAAAUAGGACUACAUGCAAAGUGUGAGGUUGGUACUUCAGUUCCAACCAAUUAGUCUAAGGGGAAAACUAUUACAUGUAGGUGAGAUGCAUUUAUUUCAUAGAUCAAAAUAAUUCAGCCCUGAAAGAAUGGUGGGAAGGCAGCAGAGGGAAGCUGUUCACAAGAUUAUCCUAUUGGAAGAAUUUUCAGUAGAUGGGAUUAUCUGUAAUGAGAUUAACCACUGGGAGAUCAAAUUCUGAAUGGAUGCUUCAUGGAGAAAAAAUGUCCACUAAAACAAAAGAGAAGUGGGAGGUAAAGGCUACAGGAUUUAAAUAAAGUCUGGUCCUGAAAGUCCUGUUGCUCUGGCAGCAAUAAUGGCAAGACCGGUUGGCAGACAACCAGGAGACAUGUCAAGUGCUCAUCAGUGAAAGAUAGUGUUAGGAAAAGGGUUUCUAAUGAAUGGAGCAAUGCUGAGAUGUAAUAAAAGGUGGCCACUGAUUCUUCUGCAUCAAUGGGCAGCUGAGAAUCCUGUGAGCAGCAAGAUGAUGCCACAAACAAUUACAAUGCAUGUUACAUUUUGUGUACAGUUACAGAGAUCGGCUUAGACUGGAUUUAAAAUAAGAGCCUAGAAUGAAGUACAAAACUACAAGAUGUGCAAAAAAUAUUUAUCAUUUAAGCUUCAAGCCAUGCAGGAAAUUUGAGAGACACAUUUAACAAGUGAUUAGUAUUUCAAGUAAAUAAUCAGUAACCGAACCUUGAACCUUUUUUCAUUGGUGAAACAUUUAGACAGAACAUAAACUGUUUUCAGGGAUGUAGGUAUCAAUAUGAAUAUAUAUGGAAAGGAAAGUCAAUAAAUAAAUCUUGGUCAAAAUCAAGAUACUUUCCAGAAGGCUCAGUCCAAAUCAGUAUUUUGGCAUUUCCAAUUAGCAUCAGAUGCUGCUAGUGGGAAAGAUUAUAUUUUUGAGGCCCAAAACAGACAUAGAUAUUGCACUUCCAUCAAAAAUGCAACUGUAGAUUUGUCUCUCAAACUUUGGGCAUUCUGCAUAUUUUGUCCUCCUCUUGGGGCAGAAACUCACUCAAGGCAUAGUUGCUCUGCAGUGACAUUAAUGUAUCUAGUAGAGACAUCUGAAGGCUACUUAAAAAGAAAAAACAACAUGAAAGACAUGGAUCAGAAAAAGUAUUCUGUCUGUAAAGGAACAAUAUUUUGUUCACAGACAUAUUUACAGUUACACAAGUUGUAGGAGGUGUGACUUUUGUUUUAGCUAGAAAUUAUUAUAUAUAUCAGCUGGCUUAGCAGCCAUGUCUUACCUAGACCCAUCACCAUGCCUGGUGUCCAUUACGCCUGUUUUACUAGAGUGAGGCAUGUCAACACACAGUUCCUCUGUUGAAAUAUCUUGAGCUAUUCUACAUGCCACAUGUAGGAAAGGAUAGGAUGUAUCUAUUUUUUGUGACUGGGAUUUGGUAGUGGAAGUGGGCUACAGGGGUGGCCUCUGUGAGAAGCAUAUAUUUACAUGUAAAUAGUAGAGAAAAUACAAGUUUAAAGCUUUGAGCAGUCUGAAUCUGCUUUCCUGUGCAGGUUAGCCAGUUAUAACUUUCUCUGGGAACUGCAGAGUUAGUCAAAUGCCAUAAAGCAUGUACUAAAGAAUAAGGCCAAUUUUUGUAAACAGACUUUUAAUUAUUUUUAAUUGGGUGAUGUCUUAGAUUUUAUUGGAAUUUAAUGGAGCUUGUCAAAUACUUGAAUAGAAUUUUCCUCAAAUAAAUUAUUCAGCAAAUAUUACUAUUAUACAUUAAUUAAUUUAUGCAGUGAAUAAUAUUCAACCAGCUGCACAAUUGGUCAAAUGCUGCUAAAAGCUGUUUGCCGAAGAAGAGUUUUGAUGAGUAACAGCAGUACUCUUUGAAUAAUAUAUAUGGCAAAGACUACCUGCCCAGUUCUAUUUUUAUUAGAUUAGAAACUUUGAAGACUUUCAGCUGACCAGCCAUGGAAGCUCUAGUUACACAAGACCAGUUUGAAACAAAUUAUUUAGUAUGUCUUGCUAAUCCAUCGAAUUUGGGAAUGGUGAAUAUUUUGCAGUGGUUCACAUACCCUUAAUAUUUUCUGAAAGUUGAGUUUGCAGGACAGUCAAAUCCAUAGAUAAUUUGUUGUUUUGGCUGUUUAGUUUAAUGCUUAGUAGACAUUUUGUUUGAUCUUUUUACCUUGGUAUCCUGGCUACAUCCUUCAGGAGAUUCAGGACUUCUGUCACCUAUCCAGCAGCUCCAAGAAGACAGUGGAAGUUGUAUUCUUAAUGACUUUUGUAAAACAAGGGCAGCUCUAGUUGUUCAGAUCCAGACUAAUCAUGGGACUGAUUUCAAGCAAUUAAAAAACAGUGUUAUGGUUGUGGAAGAGUUGGGUCAUGCUGCAAAAAAGUGAGAAAGGACGCAUCAUAGACCAUGAGAUUUAGAGGGACUGAAAUUGUGUGAAUGAGCAGAUUUAGUACUGGCCUUGUUGAGUAACCUUGUUUGAGCUUCAUUCACUCCAAAACAUCAGGGCAUUAGGUAAAUUGCUAUUUUCAGAGCAGCAAUAGGUGUAAUUAAUCCAAGCCAGCUCAGAUUGUGAUUGCUUGACUCUUCAGUUCUGUGCUUUGAUUAAAUUCAAAAUUCCAGGACUUACGUUUCACUUCCUACUCUGGAGAUUCAUCCUGCCCAAUACUUGGCAAGGGACUGACUGCGCAUAGUGUGUCCAAGCAACCCUACACAGUCCAUUUGAACUACAGAGAUUGUGAACAUGACUGAGGAAACUAGAUCUAAACUAUAACAUAAAAUAAACAUAAACACAUCUGAAAAGUAGGGUACCUGGGCAUGGAUCUAUGCCUUGCUGGGCUCUAUUAGCCUAGGCUGUCCUGGUGUUAUGUAUGUACAACACUCUACUGCUUUAGCCUGAUGAAACUAUAUAGUGAAGCUGAAGCAUGUCAAGAUGAUCUGUUCUCACAAGUUGGGUCUACAGGCACAGCAUCACAAGCUAUGUCAAUAUUAACCAGUAAAUCAGUCCAGCAUAACAGUAACAUCCUUCUAGGGCUAGAGGAUUUGACCUCCCUACUGUAUGUUUCCAUGGGGUUUACUUUUAGCAGGUGUUAGUAUGAUUCCAUGGGCUAAAUGCCCAAUUUCAUCUGAUAUGCAUCAGGUGUGCUGCUGGGGAGUUAACUUUCUAGUUUAAUUGCAUCCAAAUAGACUCUCUGCUGCUCAACACAAAUGGAAACACAGUUACAUGGGUGCAUACCUGAGUUGAACAAAACACUAACAGACAUGCUCCUUAUUGCUCCUGGUAGUAGGUUUUCAGUGUGUUAGAUUUUAGAUAAUCAUGGAACCAAAUUGGAGUUUUAUUAUACUUUCUCAUUAAAAAAGGCAGGGAGAAAAGCAGUCGUGUUUUACUGAAUUACACCCUUCAGAUUUUUUUAAAUGAGCUUGCACUGGUGAGUGGGUUGAGCAGAGAAGUGAAGUGAGGUGUUGAGGAUUUGAGAAAUAUAUUUAUUCCACAAAUUAAUUAAAUUUGGAAUUACAAAUAUGUUAGUGUUUGUCAAAGCCCCACAGCAUUGCAUAUAGUGUUAACUAUGAAAGUAUUACAAAUCAGUAUCUCUUCUGAGCUGCAAAACAAUAUUGUUAGGCUCAGUUAUAAUGCCAAAAUGAAUAUAUAAUUUAAAUCCUCAUUCCUACAAGUUUUGAUCUCUGGUUUUUUUUAACUGAGAAAAUACCAAAUGGUAUGACAAGCAAAGACCUUUAAAUCUGCAUGCCUUCUGGAGUAUAAUAGUUUUACUCUUAACUGCAUCCAUGAGUUAGAAAUAUUAUGGGUCAAAGGCAUGCCUAGGAGGCCCUCAAGGCUGACCUAAUUAUCUACAAUACAUUUCCACUUUUCUGUAUCUGGAGGCCAAUUAGUUUCCACACUAUGUACAGUGGAGCAUUUUUUUGUGUCUCUUGUAGUCACUUGAGCCUUAAGAAUACUGUAAUAAUUCAAUAUAAUAAUGGAACAUAAUUGAGAUCUGUGAUUUAGUAUUAGAAUAAAGAGCUCAACAUCAGAGCUACCUACUAUGUGAAGUACACCAGAAACAUACAACUAUAUGCCUAACAGUUUAGACAGAAUUUGGGGUGAGGAAUAAUAAGGGCUAAGUCUCUUCAUCUCGAAUCUACUUUUCUCCAUUUUGGCUGUGUCCUAUGUACCACAACAAUGUCAUACUGCAGUGUACUAUCAUGAUAGCCAUUGACUCAAUCUAAUCUAAAUGCCUUAGAAAACCAUUAACUUUUUUUUUUUUUUUUUUUGUUAUUAUGAUGUAUAAAUUGGACUAAUUUAAGCCUUCUGUGCCUUUAUUUCCUGGUGAUGACAUUCAGUUCUGAUUUUUCACUGCUUUGGCAUAGCAUUAUGGAUUAUUUCUAUGUAGAAAGCUAAAACUUACUAGUAAAUCAUCCUAGAUUUUGCUCUCUGUAUUAAAAAAUAUG